CAGUCGCCACGGUAAUACAGAGGAUGCAAGCGUUAUCCGGAAUGAUUGGGCGUAAAGCGCACGUAGGCGGAUAUUUAAGUCAGGGGUGAAAUCCCAGAGCUCAACUCUGGAACUGCCUUUGAUACUGGGUAUCUUGAGUAUGGAAGAGGUGAGUGGAAUUCCGAGUGUAGAGGUGAAAUUCGUAGAUAUUCGGAGGAACACCAGUGGCGAAGGCGGCUCACUGGUCCAUUACUGACGCUGAGGUGCGAAAGCGUGGGGAGCAAACAGGAUUAGAUACCCGCGUAGUCCCUGUCUCUUAUAC
rnacentral:rRNA from 1 species